GAUGAACGCUGGCGGCGUGCCUAAUACAUGCAAGUCGAAUGCUGAAGGAAGGAGCUUGCUCUUUCCGGAUGAGUUGCGAACGGGUGAGUAACGCGUAGGUAACCUGCCUGGUAGCGGGGGAUAACUAUUGGAAACGAUAGCUAAUACCGCAUAACAGUAGAUGUUGCAUGAUAUCUACUUAAAAGGUGCAAUUGCACCACUACCAGAUGGACCUGCGUUGUAUUAGCUAGUUGGUGAGGUAACGGCUCACCAAGGCGACGAUACAUAGCCGACCUGAGAGGGUGAUCGGCCACACUGGGACUGAGACACGGCCCAGACUCCUACGGGAGGCAGCAGUAGGGAAUCUUCGGCAAUGGACGGAAGUCUGACCGAGCAACGCCGCGUGAGUGAAGAAGGUUUUCGGAUCGUAAAGCUCUGUUGUAAGAGAAGAACGAGUGUGAGAGUGGAAAGUUCACACUGUGACGGUAUCUUACCAGAAAGGGACGGCUAACUACGUG
rnacentral:rRNA from 1 species